rnacentral:tRNA from 1 species
GGAGAGAUGGCCCAGUGGUUAAGAGCACUGACUGCUCUUCCAGAGGUCCUGAGUUCAAUUCCCAGCAACCACA